rnacentral:misc_RNA from 1 species
GAGAGGCGGGUUAGGCGCUCAGCAACCGGUGGCGACCGAGCGACAGAGUACACACGACCAGCUGUAUACCAGCCGUGUCAACCAACUGUUGAAGUAGCCAGCUGUCUACUCUUCCUCCGGGCCAGAGUCCUAGACAAGCCUCUAUUGGUGCUGUGUGGCGGAGGUGAGGCAGUCUCCGUGAGACGCUCCACAGUCUAAGGACGCUGUGGUAGACGCUGCUGUGGCACUUUUGUUGUAGUGUUGUGCGUGGACACCAGCCAUGGGUCGCUCCUACACCACCCUCGGCCAGGGCUCGGCCCUGCUCCUCCUGGUCCUUUUGGCGGCUUCGGCCUCGGCCUAUGAUAUCACCCUUCGCCCAGGACUCCGGCACUACACCAAGAGAUCAGGUGAGGGUGGCGCUCGACUAAAGGGACCAUAUCUCCUCUACUUAUUGUCCUCCCCGUCCAACAUGCAUGCAGCCUAUGGUUACGGCUACACGCAGCAAGACUACAAUCCCAACAGCCGAGUUGAGCGAGACUGCAUGGCCUACGAACCCUUCAGGUGUCCUGGAGGUGAGGUGUGCAUCUCCAUCCAGUACCUGUGUGACGGCGCCCCCGACUGUCCUGAUGGCUACGACGAGAACCCACGACUCUGUACUGCAGCCAAGCGUCCACCAGUAGAGGAGACAGCAUCCUUCCUGCAGUCACUCCUAGCCUCACACGGCCCCAACUACCUGGAAAAGCUGUUCGGUACCAAGGCUCGUAAUGCUCUCAAGCCCCUGGGAGGCGUUGAGGCAGUAGCUGUCGCCCUCUCAGAGUCGCAAACCAUUGAUGACUUUGGUGACACUCUUCACCUGCUGCGAUCCGACGUGGAGCACCUUCGUUCUGUCUUCAUGGCAGUGGAGAACGGAGACAUCGGCAUGCUGAAGUCCCUCGGCAUCAAGGACUCUGAACUCGGAGACGUCAAGUUCUUCUUGGAGAAGCUGGUCAACACCGGCUUCCUCGACUAAGAAGUCAAAGCCACAAGUCUAGGACAGGAGGAGAAGGAGCAGGAAGUAAAGAGAAUGGCAAAGAGGUAUUCCAGAAGGCAUAAUGAAGCCAAUUUUGAAAGUCCGUGACAGAGACUGAAGAAGAGAUAAACAAAAAGAGUAAGAAAUGGCAAAGCUCAAGAAUUUAUACAAGGAUGAAGGAUGUAAAUUUAUAAAGGAAUAAAAGUUGGUAUGGUACUGUAGUGGACACAGUAGUAACCAGAGAAGAUAAGGCGACAGGCAUGAUACAAGACACAUGAGGUCUGAUAUUGGGAAGCUGGCAGAGAAUAAGCAUAUUUUUCCAAUAAUCUCCUAAUCACCAAGAAAACUAUUCUAAUACAAGUAUUAUAUUAGGGGUGACGUAAUACUCUUGUGAUGACUAGUACUGUAGCUCACCAAUACAAGUUAUGGUCACCUGUAGUUGGCAUUUUGUGAGAGUUAGUAGUGUUAUGUUAUUGUUUGGAUUCUAUAUCAUAGAUAACAGCCACGAAUAGACUUAAUUAUCCUUAAGUUAGUGUAUAGCACGUUUACCUAUCUAAUCACCUAAUUAUUAUAUAUAUUUUUGUGAAUAUGUAAUAAGCUUAUUUUUUUUGUCAGCAUCCACUAAAUUUAAGUGUAGAAAUUUCUCAAAAUAUUUUCUGUGAUAAUGUUUAUUUGAGAGACCAGCGACCACUGUUUUGUGUACAGAGAGAAGGACUGACUGACUCUCAGCUGUGAAGGUUUCAGAAAAAUCUGAGCCCAAAAUUUCUUUUUAACUUUGGCCUUCUUGCUGUGGAGAUAUUUUUGCAACUCUGAUAAUAUAUUUUCAAAAUUUAAUUGUCAAAAUUUUAUACUUUUAGAAAUUUUUUGUUAUUAGAUGUUGAACAACUGCAUUCUCUUUGAAAUUUGGAGCUUGUGAAUUGACUCAAGAGUAACUAUUGUGUGUCAAGAUUUAAAAUUCUAGAUUAGCUGAAUUGUUGAGUAUUGUGAAAGGUGAUCCUCAGCUUUGAGCUUCUCUUAAGGAGGAUCUUUGUUUAACUGUAUAUGUACCUUGGAAGUUGAUUGCAUCUUUUACCAAUAUUCCUCAGAACUUGAUCAGUACAUUAGCUAACAUUCCAUAGUAGUUGGUCGAGUCAUCGCCAACAUUCUUCAGGUGUUGGUAGAGUCAUCGCCAACAUUCUUCAGGUGUUGGUCGAGUCAUCGCCAACAUUCUUCAGAUGUUAGUUUAGUUCAUCAAUCUUCCUUGGAGUUUGGGCGAACAUUUUUGAGUGUUAUGGUAGGCACGAGAGUUUAUCUGCUUCACCCUGAUGUUCACCUUCAUCAUUGUGUUUAGUCGUGUUUCGUCCAGUGUUUGAGGUUGUCUGGCUAGGUGUUGUUGGGGAAUUGGAAUAUUUACAUGUUUACAAUGUGGAUAGAAAUAGUAAUGUUGUUAUUUUAGAUCAGCUGUUAUACCUACUAAUGUUUACAAUAUAACAGUUAUCAAUGUCUGUAAGAUUUACCAUAAUAUUUGUAAGAACUAAUGGGAAGAUUAAGAACAUUACAUCAAAUAUCAGAUUUUAAAGGUUCAUAGUAAGAUAUUUUAAUUUGAAUGCUUUAUUCUAAAUAUUAUCAACAUCAGUUAGUAGUUUAAGGUGCUACAGUAAAAACAAAUAUAAUUUGUUAAUUUUGUGUAUUGAAAUACGUACAGUAUUAGUGUGAGUAAAGAUGAACCAGGACAAUCACUCAUAUUACUGCAGGUGUGGACUGUUAUGUACCUGCAUGACAUUAUUUUAGAGUUAAACUAAAGGGUGUUAGGUGCCACUGGUAACAACCCGUUACUUGCUCACUAACAGCUCGUGAGAGACCACCUCCAAUCACACCUCUUGUAUACAUGCAGACUACAAACUGCACAGUGCACAAACUUGUUUUUUGUCAUUUAUUUAAGAGUUAUUAUUCUGUAAAGCAAAUCCUCAAGUAUUUCUAACAUAUGUGAGUCAAUGAACAUGAAACUUCUAAAAUCUAUUAAUAAUGAAGACCAUCACCAAGACCACCCUGUGAGUCAACCUCAAAAUACACUAUCUUGCAAAAGUAAAACCUCUCCUGUUGGUUCCUUGUGACACGCUGAUCUACCUGACAACCUCUCUCAUUAAUAUGUGAUAUGUUCUGUCUUCUCUGCAUGCAUGAUGCUGUGCUUAAAUAAAUGUACAGAUGCACAAAUAUGAUGUUUUCUGGGCGUGUUAUGUUAGUGUAGAGGGCAAUAAUUACGAUAUUGUUUAUUUUCUCUCUCCGAGCAUGCCCUGACCACACCCACCAUGCCCUGACCACACCCACCAUGCCCUGUCCACACCCAUCAUGCCCUGACCACACCCACCAUGUCUGCGGCACCCACCUCUCAACAGCCCUCGGCAGGUACCUUCUGGCUGGCUGGGUCCAGGCCUCGUGGGCCACCACCACAUACUUGAAUAUUUGACACAUUUUCAAAUAUCUUCUAUAGCUUACUCAGAUUUGGUUGUAUAAAAAGGACAUAAUUUUAAUAUAAGAAGUUUAAUCAAGGUACUGUACUAAGUUAGUGCAAAGAGCAUGUCAACAGCACUAGUGUUGGUGAGUGUAAAGGUGAUGGGGUGGACCCAGCUGGCAGGGCUGGGUAACCCCCGGAGGCUGCCAACAUUACCACGAACUUUACUCUGGGGCUGCCAAGUUGUUGCCUGUGUUUGUGUCUGACGACGUCUGACUGUAGUGGAGUGUUGUAACUGAGUGUUGAGAUAAUAAAGCAACAGAUGACUGUGUCUGAGCGUUCUUAAUGUCGUGAAUAAUUCUGUCUGGGUUAUAACAUGGUGGAUGAUGUUAAGAAUUUGUCUUUACUGUACUGUACUUCUAAAACUCUUGUUGUACACUACCACAGGGACUAAUGUUGUUAUCUAACACCUGGAUUAAUUUGAGAUGAGGAAAUGUUCCCCAAGAGUAAGACUAUUUAAUAAAAGUAUAAUUUAAA